GAUGAACGCUGGCGGCGUGCCUAAUACAUGCAAGUCGAGCGAACAGACGAGGAGCUUGCUCCUCUGACGUUAGCGGCGGACGGGUGAGUAACACGUGGAUAACCUACCUAUAAGACUGGGAUAACUUCGGGAAACCGGGGCUAAUACCGGAUAAUAUAUUGAACCGCAUGGUUCAAUAGGGAAAGACGGUUUUGCUGUCACUUAUAGAUGGAUCCGCGCCGCAUUAGCUAGUUGGUAAGGUAACGGCUUACCAAGGCAACGAUGCGUAGCCGACCUGAGAGGGUGAUCGGCCACACUGGAACUGAGACACGGUCCAGACUCCUACGGGAGGCAGCAGUAGGGAAUCUUCCGCAAUGGGCGAAAGCCUGACGGAGCAACGCCGCGUGAGUGAUGAAGGUCUUCGGAUCGUAAAACUCUGUUAUUAGGGAAGAACAAAUGUGUAAGUAACUAUGCACGUCUUGACGGUACCUAAUCAGAAAGCCACGGCUAACUACGUG
rnacentral:rRNA from 1 species